CCUACGGGAGGCAGCAGUGAGGAAUAUUGAGCAAUGGGCGCAAGCCUGACUCAGCAACGCCGCGUGGAGGAAGACGGCCUUCGGGUUGUAAACUCCUUUUCUGCGGGACGAUGAUGACGGUACCGCAGGAACAAGUUCCGGCUAACUACGUGCCAGCAGCCGCGGUAAAACGUAGGGGACAAGCGUUAUCCGGAUUUACUGGGCGUAAAGCGCCCGUAGGCGGCUAUGUAAGUUGGCUGUGAAAGCUCCCGGCUUAACUGGGAGAGGUCAGUCAAAACUGUGUAGCUAGAGGCUGAGAUAGGCGAGCGGAAUUCCCGGUGUAGUGGUGGAAUGCGUAGAGAUCGGGAGGAACACCAGUGGCGCAAGCGGCUCGCUGGUUCAGCCCUGACGCUGAGGGGCGAAAGCGUGGGGAGCGAACGGGAUUAGAUACCCCAGUAGUC
rnacentral:rRNA from 1 species